CCUACGGGAGGCAGCAGUGGGGAAUAUUGGACAAUGGGCGCAAGCCUGAUCCAGCCAUACCGCGUGUGUGAAGAAGGCCUUCGGGUUGUAGAGCACUUUAAGUAAGGAAGAAAAGUAUAUUGUUAAUACCAAUGUACCGUGACAUUACUUACAGAAUAAGGACCGGCUAAUUCCGUGCCAGCAGCCGCGGUAAUACGGAAGGUCCAAGCGUUAAUCGGAAUUACUGGGCGUAAAGCGCGCGUAGGUGGUUUAUUAAGUUGGGUGUGAAAGCCCCGGGCUCAACCUGGGAACUGCAUCCAAAACUGAUUCACUAGAGUACGAAAGAGGGAGGUAGAAUUCACAGUGUAGCGGUGGAAUGCGUAGAUAUUGUGAAGAAUACCAAUGGCGAAGGCAGCCUCCUGGUUCUGUACUAACACUGAGGUGCGAAAGCGUGGGUAGCGAACAGGAUUAGAUACCCUGGUAGUCCACGCCGUAAACGAUGACAACCAGCUGUUGGGAAGCAAUGCUUUUCAGUGGCGCAGCUAACGUCUUAAGUUGUCCGCCUGGGGAGUACGGCCGCAAGGCUAAAACUCAAAUGAAUUGACGGA
rnacentral:rRNA from 1 species